CGCAUCUGUGCAUGCAGCAUAUCAAUAAGCGGAGGAAAAGAAACUAACAAGGAUUCCCCUAGUAACGGCGAGUGAAGCGGGAAGAGCUCAAAUUUGAAAUCUUAAAGGGUUUCCCUUUACGAAUUGUAGCUUAAAGAAGUGUUUUCUGUUGAGGUUUUGGUAAAAGUUCUUUGGAAUAGGACAUCAUAGAGGGUGAGAAUCCCGUAUUUGACCUUUACUUUCAACUUUGUGAUACACUUUCAAAGAGUCGGAUUGUUUGGGAAUGCAGUCCAAAAUGGGUGGUAAAUUUCAUCUAAAGCUAAAUAUUGGCGAGGAGACCGAUAGCGAACAAGUACCGUGAGGGAAAGAUGAAAAGAACUUUGAAAAGAGAGUUAAACAGUACGUGAAAUUGUCAAAAGGGAAGCGUUUGACACCAGUGUUGUUUUUCUGAAAAUCAAUUAAAGAACUGUUUAUGCUAAGCUGUUUAGACUUUAUCAGCUAUCUGUUUAGUUUUGAGCUUUUCUUUAAUGCACUUUUCAGUUAACAAGUCAACAUCAAUUUCUUUUGCUGUAAAAAAGCUUGAGGAAGGUGGCUUGAGAUUCGUCUUAAGUGUUUAUAGCCUCUUGCCUAUGCAGUCGGAGAGAUUGAGGUCUGCAGCGUAGAUCCUUCGGGGCUAAAUGCAUUUGUGCUAAGUUAUAGCAUUUUAUAGACAACUUGUUGACUAUGAUUUGUCUUGUAGCUUACUCGCUUAUGUUAUUUUACCUACGCUUAGGAUGUUGAGUCGUAGAGCACGCAG
rnacentral:rRNA from 1 species